rnacentral:rRNA from 1 species
AUGUUGGCGCAGAGAGGAUCUGCGCGGCGAGGGAAGGGAUGUCUGAACGGUGUGAAGAGUAAGCAUCUCCUCUUGAUUCUCUGGGUCUUUGGUAUGCUGCUGCUUUUGGUCUGCAGAAUAACCGUGGCGGAGUUUGUUUCUGCACCUCUCGUUGCCUGGAGCUGGGAACGAUAUCCACGAAGCCAUGCUGCUGUGCUACAUGACAAGACCAAGUUGCCCCUUGCGUGCUGCGUGUUCACUCAGGUCCAUUUCAACCCAUGCCACUUUCCCGGGGAAUGGGACCCUGCCUCGUUUUGGUUCCUAUCCAUUGAGCCAAGUAGUGCUCUGUGUGUAGCCACCGUGAAAUUGAUGGAGCCCCACUAG